rnacentral:rRNA from 1 species
AGAGUUUGAUCCUGGCUCAGGACGAACGCUGGCGGCGUGCCUAAUACAUGCAAGUCGUACGCUUCUUUUUCCACCGGAGCUUGCUCCACCGGAAAAAGAGGAGUGGCGAACGGGUGAGUAACACGUGGGUAACCUGCCCAUCAGAAGGGGAUAACACUUGGAAACAGGUGCUAAUACCGUAUAACAAUCGAAACCGCAUGGUUUUGAUUUGAAAGGCGCUUUCGGGUGUCGCUGAUGGAUGGACCCGCGGUGCAUUAGCUAGUUGGUGAGGUAACGGCUCACCAAGGCCACGAUGCAUAGCCGACCUGAGAGGGUGAUCGGCCACAUUGGGACUGAGACACGGCCCAAACUCCUACGGGAGGCAGCAGUAGGGAAUCUUCGGCAAUGGACGAAAGUCUGACCGAGCAACGCCGCGUGAGUGAAGAAGGUUUUCGGAUCGUAAAACUCUGUUGUUAGAGAAGAACAAGGAUGAGAGUAACUGUUCAUCCCUUGACGGUAUCUAACCAGAAAGCCACGGCUAACUACGUGCCAGCAGCCGCGGUAAUACGUAGGUGGCAAGCGUUGUCCGGAUUUAUUGGGCGUAAAGCGAGCGCAGGCGGUUUCUUAAGUCUGAUGUGAAAGCCCCCGGCUCAACCGGGGAGGGUCAUUGGAAACUGGGAGACUUGAGUGCAGAAGAGGAGAGUGGAAUUCCAUGUGUAGCGGUGAAAUGCGUAGAUAUAUGGGUGGCGAAGGCGGCUCUCUGGUCUGUAACUGACGCUGAGGCUCGAAAGCGUGGGGAGCAAACAGGAUUAGAUACCCUGGUAGUCCACGCCGUAAACGAUGAGUGCUAAGUGUUGGAGGGUUUCCGCCCUUCAGUGCUGCAGCUAACGCAUUAAGCACUCCGCCUGGGGAGUACGACCGCAAGGUUGAAACUUCAAAGGAAUUGACGGGGGCCCGCACAAGCGGUGGAGCAUGUGGUUUAAUUCGAAGCAACGCGAAGAACCUUACCAGGUCUUGACAUCCUUUGACCACUCUAGAGAUAGAGCUUCCCCUUCGGGGGCAAAGUGACAGGUGGUGCAUGGUUGUCGUCAGCUCGUGUCGUGAGAUGUUGGGUUAAGUCCCGCAACGAGCGCAACCCUUAUUGUUAGUUGCCAUCAUUCAGUUGGGCACUCUAGCAAGACUGCCGGUGACAAACCGGAGGAAGGUGGGGAUGACGUCAAAUCAUCAUGCCCCUUAUGACCUGGGCUACACACGUGCUACAAUGGGAAGUACAACGAGUCGCGAAGUCGCGAGGCUAAGCUAAUCUCUUAAAGCUUCUCUCAGUUCGGAUUGCAGGCUGCAACUCGCCUGCAUGAAGCCGGAAUCGCUAGUAAUCGCGGAUCAGCACGCCGCGGUGAAUACGUUCCCGGGCCUUGUACACACCGCCCGUCACACCACGAGAGUUUGUAACACCCGAAGUCGGUGAGGUAACCUUUGGAGCCAGCC